rnacentral:rRNA from 1 species
UACGUAGGUGGCAAGCGUUGUCCGGAAUUACUGGGUGUAAAGGGAGCGUAGGCGGGAAAUCAAGUUGGACGUCAAAUCUAUCGGCUCAACCGGUAACAGCGUUCAAAACUGAUAUUCUUGAGUGGAGUAGAGGUAAGCGGAAUUCCUAGUGUAGCGGUGAAAUGCGUAAAUAUUAGGAGGAACACCAGUGGCGAAGGCGGCUUACUGGGCUUUAACUGACGCUGAGGCUCGAAAGCGUGGGUAGCAAACAGG